rnacentral:rRNA from 1 species
GAUAAACGCUGGCGGCGCCCAUAAGACAUGCAAGUUGAACGGACUUAAUCGAAAUAUUUAUCUUUUGAAGCGGUUAGUGGCGGACUGGUGAGUAACGCGUAAGGAACCUGCCUAUUAGAGGGGAAUAACAGUGAGAAAUCAUUGCUAAUACCGCAUAUGCCAUAGAUAUCACAUGAUAACAGUGGGAAAGGAGCAAUCCGCUAAUAGAUGGCCUUGCGGCCGAUUAGAUAGUUGGUGGGGUAACGGCCUACCAAGUCGACGAUCAGUAGCCGGACGGGGAGGUUGAACGGCCACAUUGGGACUGAGAUACGGCCCAGACUCCUACGGGAGGGAGCAGGCGGGAAUAGUGCGCAAUGGAGGAAACUCUGACGCAGUGACGCCGCGUAUAGAAAGAAGGUUUUCGGAAUGUAAGCUAUUGUCGUUAGGGAAGAGAAAGGACAGUACCUAAGGAGGAAGCUCCGGCUAACUACGUG